GCACAUGGUGUUGAUUACAAGUGACAGAAGCAUUGAGAAGACUGGAGAGCCACCCCCACUGAUGGCAACCGCUGGACACAAGGGGCAGUUUGUUUAAGUUCUAUUCCCAUGAUGUCAUUUGGUAGCCACUGCUGCUGCCUUCAUGGAAUCUGCUGCUGCCCCAGGAUCCACCACACCACUGCUUCCAUCUGAAGGAGAGAAGUUCAGGUGCAGGGUCCCCACAAGGAAAGACAAAAUGUCAUCUAUGACUAAAAAGAACAGACCUCACAGACGUGGAACUUUCCGUCUAGCAGGAAGAGUAAAUAGAUAAAUAAUUGCACAAAUUAUUAACGAAAUAAAAAUAUUAAAAAAAAAAAAAGGGAACACUUUGAAAACCUGUCACCUGGGAACUUGGACAAAGGGGACUUGGACAAAUGGGACUUGAAGCAGAGGAGGUAGCCUUAGAACAUGCCCUGGAUGCUGAGCUGCAGCCACUGGGGGAAAAGGCAGAAAGGAACAUUCUGGGCAGAGGAAGCAGCAUAUGUCAUAGAGAAGAUCAGGACACAGACACACAGAGGGAAGACG